GCCGCAGGGGGCGGGGGGCCGGGCUCGCUGCCACCGCCCGGCGCCCUCUGCCCUCACCCCUCACCCCGGCACCGGCUCUUAAAGGGGCCGCGCGGCGUCCCGAUUCCGUGCCUGGGACCCCACUUCCAGGACGCCCUCCCAGCCCCAGUGCUCGGCCCCACCCGGCGACCUCCAGCCUCGUGGCACACACACCCGCCGAGGGGCCGACCGUCCGGCUCCCAGGCCCGAGGGUCCUCUCCCCGCCGGCCUGGCCAGAGCUGGCGCCCCCGCCCCUCCGCAGCCUUUGUUGGUGCGGGGCCUGCCGGCGGGGAGGGCCUUCUCCAGCGCCGGGCCUGGUGCUAGAGCGCACCGCGAGCCCAGCUCUGCGAGGCGCUUUACCUGCGGCCUCGCGCCGACCCUCUCCACGACCCCUGGAGGUGGGAACCUGGGCCUGCGCUCUCUUCGGGAAGGGAGAAGCUCCGAGGCGAGAUGGUUUGCCUUGGGUCACAUAGCUCACGAGUUGGUUGCGGGGGCGGGGGGUUCUCUAGUCAGCGCCGUCUCCCCCGUUCCCGCUGACGACCUCCAGCCUUGGUCGCUUCUAGCGAAAAGUCGCCCUUAAGCCGCGCUCGCGGGGACUCGCCUCGACGGUGUGCCCCUCCCCGCCCCCCACAGGCAGGUGAGCGUGUGCCCCCAGCCGAUCGCGGUGGGAACACAACUGCUCGGCCGUUUGGACGCUGGUCGUCCAGAGCGGGAACGAGCAGGCUGGGCCCCGGGGGGAAGGCCGUCGGACGAGAGAGGCCCUGGCUGGAGGUGGGCCCUGAGCUUGGAGAGCUGCCCAGCCCGAGCACAGGCCAGGUCAGUUCCGCGGUGGAGGGCGGGGUGCGGCGGGGCCUUGCGUGUUUGGGCUCACCCCACGUCUGCACCGUGUGUGUGUCGGGGGCUGGGUCCUGGGCCGUGGGAGGAGGAUUCACGCUGAUCUGCCAGCGGCCUUGGUGGCCAGAGUGGAUGCCAGAGGCCCUUGGGGAAGCGUGGACGGACCCCCAAGGGCCUGGGACCCACAGGAGUGGGCGGACAGAGGAGCUGUCUCCAGGGGUGGGCCAGGUGGACCCUCCAGGGGGGCCCCUCUCCUGCCCAGACGUGCUCAGCGCCGGUACGUGGGACGGGCCGGCGCUCCGCGCUCUAGGCCUGAGCAGGAGGCAGGAAAUUGAGGGGAGGGAUGGUGUCCUUGUGCCCUUCCUGGGAGGGUCGGGGUGGCCUGUCGCGGGGCCUGGCCAGGGGCGUGAGGUUGGGCCAUGACGUUUUAGAGUCCUGGGGGUCACUUCAUGUGCAAAUGAGCGCUUAAAACCUGGAGUUCUGCCGGGAAGGGGCAGGUAGGGCGGGUCCCCUUCCGGACAAGACGGUGGCUUUCAAGGCCACCAGCUCUGGCUCUGGGUUCUCUGCAGCCCAGAGCUAGCCUCUAUCCGCUGCCCUUUUGCCCCGCGGGCCGUCUAGGCGCCUUGCCUGGGCAGGGGUCUCCUGAUGCUCUGGGGCAGAUCGGCCCGCAUCGCCUCGCAGCGCGGCCCUGGAGGAGCAGGGGCGGAUCGGGCGGCGGGCCGCGCGCAGAAGGGACGCCCAGCGGGUUACAGCUGCCCAGGCGGCCCGGCUUCGGCCUGGGGCCGACGUGCC
rnacentral:lncRNA from 1 species